rnacentral:rRNA from 1 species
GGAUCAAUAUGCUGGUCGUGCCUUUGGUACGUACUGGUAUUGUUGGUUUCUCCUUUCUGAUGAAUUAUGAUGUCAUUAAUUUGGUGUCAUGGGGAAUCAGGACUGUUACUUUGAAAAAAUUAGAGUGUUUAAAGCAGGCUUACGCUUGAAUACAUUGGCAUGGAAUAAUGAAAUAGGACGUUUGAUUCUAUUUUGUUGGUUUCUAGGAUCGACGUA